rnacentral:rRNA from 1 species
AGCGAACGCUGGCGGCAGGCUUAACACAUGCAAGUCGAGCGGGCACUUCGGUGUCAGCGGCAGACGGGUGAGUAACACGUGGGAACGUACCCUUUGGUUCGGAAUAACGCUGGGAAACUAGCGCUAAUACCGGAUACGCCCUUUUGGGGAAAGGCUUGCUGCCGAAGGAUCGGCCCGCGUCUGAUUAGCUAGUUGGUGGGGUAAUGGCCUACCAAGGCGACGAUCAGUAGCUGGUCUGAGAGGAGGAUCAGCCACACUGGGACUGAGACACGGCCCAGACUCCUACGGGAGGCAGCAGUGGGGAAUAUUGGACACUGGGCGCAGGCCUGAUCCAGCCAUGCCGCGUGAGUGAUGAAGGCCUUAGGGUUGUAAAGCUCUUUUGUCCGGGACGAUAAUGACGGUACCGGAAGAAUAAGCCCCGGCUAACUUCGUG